ACAGCAGUCGCCGCGGGAAUACGUAGGGUGCGAGCGUUAAUCGGAAUUACUGGGCGUAAAGCGUGCGCAGGCGGUUUUGUAAGACAGGCGUGAAAUCCCCGGGCUCAACCUGGGAAUGGCGCUUGUGACUGCAAAGCUAGAGUGCGGCAGAGGGGGAUGGAGUUCCGCGUGUAGCAGUGAAAUGCGUAGAUAUGCGGAGGAACACCGAUGGCGAAGGCAAUCCCCUGGGCCUGCACUGACGCUCAUGCACGAAAGCGUGGGGAGCAAACAGGAUUAGAUACCCCGGUAGUCCCUGUCUCUUAUAC
rnacentral:rRNA from 1 species